rnacentral:tRNA from 1 species
UAGCUCAGUUGGUAGAGUGCUUGCCUUGCAUGCAUAAGGCUCUGGGUUCUAUUCCCAG